rnacentral:rRNA from 1 species
AUUGAACGCUGGCGGCAUGCUUUACACAUGCAAGUCGAGCGGCAGCGCGGGGGGCAACCCUGGCGGCGAGCGGCGAACGGGUGAGUAAUGUAUCGGAACGUACCUUUCAGUGGGGGAUAACGUAGCGAAAGUUACGCUAAUACCGCAUAUUCUGUGAGCAGGAAAGCAGGGGAUCGCAAGACCUUGCGCUGAUUGAGCGGCCGAUAUCAGAUUAGCUAGUUGGUGAGGUAAAGGCUCACCAAGGCGACGAUCUGUAGCGGGUCUGAGAGGAUGAUCCGCCACACUGGAACUGAGACACGGUCCAGACUCCUACGGGAGGCAGCAGUGGGGAAUUUUGGACAAUGGGGGCAACCCUGAUCCAGCCAUGCCGCGUGAGUGAAGAAGGCC